GUCCAUGUCUUCGAAAUCAUUCAAACAAGAGGAAGUUUCCAACAAUAAUGUCUACAAUCAUCUUGACCAUUGUUUCAUCUGCAAUUUUAAAGCAAACACGAUGGUGACAAUUCAGAAGUACAAGCUGAUAAAACUUGUCACUAUUCAGAAGUUUUAUUUGGACAAAGACAUGGAAUAUCCUUUUAAUAAAGUCUUAUACUUCUUGUGCAAGCAUUGCUGUCUCUAAAUGAUAUUUUGCUUAUUAAAAAAAAGGUACACAUCUAGGCAAAUUUUGCCUAUUUUUUCUUAGUAGCUAUGUUUUUUUUAAUUAAAAAAAGUCGCUAUGUUGUAUUCUAUGCAUAUAUAAGAAAAAAUUAGAAAGAUAAGGAAUGUUAAUCACAAUUUAUAUGAACUAAAAGAUCAUAGAAUUUAAGUUUACAAAAUAUUGCUCAGAUUUUGAAAAUCUCAAAUCUUCGUCCCAAAGAAAUUGUCCUUCAAAAUGCCGACCAAUAACAUCUAAGAGAACUGAAACACUAAAAUGUAACAAGACCAGAGUUAGGAAUUAUAGAAUUGAUUUACACAUCCUUGCCAAUAAAGA